rnacentral:rRNA from 1 species
CGAACGGGUGAGUAACGCGUGAGGAACCUGCCUCAAAGAGGGGGACAACAGUUGGAAACGACUGCUAAUACCGCAUAAGCCCACGGCUCGGCAUCGAGCAGAGGGAAAAGGAGCAAUCCGCUUUGAGAUGGCCUCGCGUCCGAUUAGCUAGUUGGUGAGGUAACGGCCACCAAGGCGACGAUCGGUAGCCGGACUGAGAGGUUGAACGGCCACAUUGGGACUGAGACACGGCCCAG